rnacentral:rRNA from 1 species
CGCCUAUUGCAAAUAUAAUAGGUCCAUCCUGCCCAGUGAUAAUUUCAACGGCCGCGGUAUCCUGACCGUGCAAAGGUAGCAUAAUCAUUUGCCUUUUAAUUGAAGGCUAGUAUGAAUGGAUAAACAAGAAUAAAGCUGUCUCGUUUAGGUCCCUAAAAACUGAUUUCCAGGUGCAGAAGCCUGGGUUAUUAUAAAGGACAAGAAGACCCUAUAGAGCUUUACUAGUUCAAGCUGUAUUACUUACAUACUAGUUUGGUUGGGACAACCUAAAAACAUUUAAACCUUUUUAUUAUUAAACUUUACCCAAUUAUGUAAUAGAAUCAGCUACCUUAGGGAUAACAGGCUAAUCCCGCUAGAGAGACCACAUUGACAGUGGGGGUUGGCACCUCGAUGUUGGCUUAGCGUAACCGUUAAGCGCAGCCGCUUAAUAGAGUUGGUUUGUUCAACCAUUAAAUCGCU